AUACGUAGGGUGCAAGCGUUAAUCGGAAUUACUGGGCGUAAAGCGUGCGCAGGCGGUUUUGUAAGACAGAGGUGAAAUCCCCGGGCUCAACCGGGGAACUGCCUUUGUUACUGCAAGGCUAGAGUAUGGGAGAGGGGGGUGGAAUUCCGCGUGUAGCGGUGAAAUGCGUAGAUAUGCGGAGGAACACCGGUGGCGAAGGCAAUCCCCUGGGCCUGUACCGACGCUCAUGCACGAAAGCGUGGGGAGCAAACAGGAUUAGAUACCCCGGUGGUCCACGCCCUAAACGAUGUCAACUGGUUGUUGGGUCUUCAUUGACUCAGUAACGAAGCUAACGCGUGAAGUGCACCGCGUGGGGAGUACGGCCGCAAGGUUGAAACUCAAAUGAAUUUGCGGGG
rnacentral:rRNA from 1 species